UACAGGGGGUGCAAACGUUGCUCGGAAUGACUGGGCGUAAAGGGCGCGUAGGCGGUUCGUACAGUCAGACGUGAAAUUCCCGGGCUCAACCUGGGGGCUGCGUUUGAUACGUGCGGGCUUGAGUUCGGAAGAGGGUCGUGGAAUUCCCAGUGUAGAGGUGAAAUUCGUAGAUAUUGGGAAGAACACCGGUGGCGAAGGCGGCGACCUGGUCCGAUACUGACGCUGAGGCGCGAAAGCGUGGGGAGCAAACAGG
rnacentral:rRNA from 1 species